rnacentral:rRNA from 1 species
AACGAACGCUGGCGGCAGGCCUAACACAUGCAAGUCGAACGAGAUCUUCGGAUCUAGUGGCGGACGGGUGAGUAACGCGUGGGAACGUGCCCUUCUCUACGGAAUAGGUACCUGGGAAACCUGGGUUUAAAUACCGUAGUACGCCCUUCGGGGAAAGAAUUUCGGGAAGGAUCGGCCCGCGUUGGAUUACGGUAGUUGGUAGGGGUAAGU